rnacentral:rRNA from 1 species
AUUGAACGCUGGCGGCAUGCUUUACACAUGCAAGUCGAACGGUAACAGGCCGCAAGGUGCUGACGAGUGGCGAACGGGUGAGUAAUGCAUCGGAACGUGCCCAGUCGUGGGGGAUAACUACUCGAAAGAGUAGCUAAUACCGCAUACGAUCUAUGGAUGAGAGCGGGGGACCGUAAGGCCUCGCGCGAUUGGAGCGGCCGAUGUCAGAUUAGGUAGUUGGUGGGGUAAAGGCUCACCAAGCCAACGAUCUGUAGCUGGUCUGAGAGGACGACCAGCCACACUGGGACUGAGACACGGCCCAGACUCCUACGGGAGGCAGCAGUGGGGAAUUUUGGACAAUGGGCGCAAGCCUGAUCCAGCAAUGCCGCGUGCAGGAUGAAGGCCUUCGGGUUGUAAACUGCUUUUGUACGGAACGAAACGGCUCUGGUUAAUACCCGGGGCUAAUGACGGUACCGUAAGAAUAAGCGCCGGCUAACUACGUG